CUUUCUCCGCCGGCGACCGGCGCACGGGUGAGUAACACGUAUGCAACCUGCCCCUGUCAGGGGGACAACCCGCCGAAAGGCGGGCUAAACCCACGUACAUGCCACCGGGGCAUCCCGGAGGCAGGAAAGGCUUCGGCCGGACAGGGAUGGGCAUGCGGCGCAUUAGGCAGUAGGCGGGGUAACGGCCCACCUAACCGACGAUGCGUAGGGGUUCUGAGAGGAAGGUCCCCCACACUGGUACUGAGACACGGACCAGACUCCUACGGGAGGCAGCAG
rnacentral:rRNA from 1 species